AUAUAUAGAGUCCGGCUGAGGUACUAUCGUGGUGCUAUCGAGUUUUUCACCGUUAAAUUUAACCCUCUGAUUAUUUUUACCCGUUAGAUUAUACUAUUCAACAAACCACUCACUCAAUCCUAGAGGGUCCACAUCAUCCUAGCCACCCAUUUCUCAAUCUAAGGGCUAAAAAAUCAAUAGCACCAAUAGUUUGAUGCUAUUGAUAGUAUUCCAGCCUAGUUCUAUAUAUAUAUAUAUAGAGAGAGAGAGAGAGAGAGAGAGAUAGACUUGGACUGGGCUACUAUUAGUAGCAAAAUCCCAUUGUUGCUACCAAUUUUUUAGCCUUUGAAUCAACUCUUUUCAUUAUUUCUAACCAUUGAAUUAAAUACUAUAACCUAGUAGGGACCACUCAACCCUAGGGGGACUACUCAACUCUAAUCGACUAAUAUCAUCCUGACCUUACAAUUUUUCAUCAAAGGGUUAAAAACUUGAUAGCAAAAAGAGCAUUUUACUAUUAAUAGUAUUCCAGCCUAAUUCUAUAUAUAUAUACUCCGACUACUAUAUACUUUUAUGAGUAUUGACUGUCUUAUACUCAUAAAUUUUCGGCCCUUAGAUUUAUUUCAUUAAUCAUUUUCAUUCGUUAGAUCAUACUACUUAACCAACUACUCACUCAACUCUAGGGGACCACUAUCAUUUUAAGUGGGGACCACCAUCAUCCUAACCACACAUCCCAUCAAUUAACGGUUAAAAAUUUAUGAGUAAAAAGAGAUCUAUACUCAUAAGAGUAUAGUAGCCCCAGCCUAUAUAUAUAUAUAUAUAUAUAUAUAUAUAUAUAUAUAUAGUAAGGCUACUAUGCUAUCGGAAGCACGAAGCCUUCCGUGCUUCCAGCUCGUUUUCGAUGUUGCGACUUUCGAAUCGUCGAUCAGCUCCGUUAAACUUGAUCUAGAGUAUUUGAAGUACCUAGAAAAUAAAUUAUACGAUUUUUCGAUAUUAUUUACCUAGUGAACGAAGGGGCUCAAAAUCAACAGCUGAAAAUAAAAAUCUUACAAAACGUUAUAAUAUGACAUUAAAAUUUUAGAUCAAAGAUAUUAAUCUUGUUUUAUAUAGUAUAAAAAAAAUUUUAUCAAAAUUUCACGUGAUUUGGAUAUUUCUACACCGUUAAACUUGCAAACGGCUCACUACGGCCAUUAAAAUUAUUGAUUUUGAGUCCCUUCGAUCACUAGGCAAAUGAUAUCGAAAAAUCAUAAAAUUUAUUUUCUAGGUACUUCAAAUACUCUAGAUCAAGUUUAACGGAGCCGAUCGACGAUUCGAAAGUCGCAACAUCGAAAACGAGCUGGAAGCACGGAAGGUUCCGUGCUUUCGAUAGCGCGCGCGCCCGCACACACACACACACACACAUAU
rnacentral:lncRNA from 1 species